AUUGAACGCUGGCGGCAGGCCUAACACAUGCAAGUCGAACGGUAACAGGAAGCAGCUUGCUGCUUCGCUGACGAGUGGCGGACGGGUGAGUAAUGUCUGGGAAGCUGCCUGAUGGAGGGGGAUAACUACUGGAAACGGUAGCUAAUACCGCAUAAUGUCGCAAGACCAAAGAGGGGGACCUUCGGGCCUCUUGCCAUCGGAUGUGCCCAGAUGGGAUUAGCUUGUUGGUGGGGUAACGGCUCACCAAGGCGACGAUCCCUAGCUGGUCUGAGAGGAUGACCAGCCACACUGGAACUGAGACACGGUCCAGACUCCUACGGGAGGCAGCAGUGGGGAAUAUUGCACAAUGGGCGCAAGCCUGAUGCAGCCAUGCCGCGUGUAUGAAGAAGGCCUGCGGGUUGUAAAGUACUUUCAGCGGGGAGGAAGGGAGUAAAGUUAAUACCUGUGCUCAUUGACGUUACCCGCAGAAGAAGCACCGGCGAACUCCGU
rnacentral:rRNA from 1 species